CAGCCGCCGCGGUAAUGCGUAGGGUGCGAGCGUUAAUCGGAAUUACUGGGCGUAAAGCGUGCGCAGGCGGUUUUGUAAGACAGGCGUGAAAUCCCCGGGCUCAACCUGGGAAUGGCGCUUGUGACUGCAAAGCUAGAGUGCGGCAGAGGGGGAUGGAAUUCCGCGUGUAGCAGUGAAAUGCGUAGAUAUGCGGAGGAACACCGAUGGCGAAGGCAAUCCCCUGGGCCUGCACUGACGCUCAUGCACGAAAGCGUGGGGAGCAAACAGGAUUAGAUACCCCAGUAGUCCCUGUCUCUUAUAC
rnacentral:rRNA from 1 species